AUCUACAAGUCAGAAAUUGCCCAACCAUUUUUAUGAUAGCCUUCAGAGUCACAUGCCUUUAAUGAUAGCCGUGGGAUUGGUUUCUCGAUCCAACGGCUAUCCUUCUCCGUUGCUCCCUAUUUAUUACCGCCUCAAAUCUUGAAUUCCAAGAGCAACAUAAACAUUAAGGAAUUUGGGCACUUUUGAGGAUGACUAACCAUGAUGAAAGGAUAAGUGAUCUUUAAGAAGCUGCCAACAAGAUUCAUAUUAACAGUCUUCGAUAAUGUUGAUUCAUUCCACCAACAAGAGGACAACACUGGUGAAUAAAUAAAGUAUGCAUUUGCAUGUGUAAAAUCUGAAAUAGCGACAGUGGACCCUUGGCGAUGAGUUCUUAUCUCAUGGAUUCAACAUCAGUUUCAAGAUUGCAGAAGGAUGAAAAGGGUUGCAGGCGAUGCUAGUCGUUGAGGAAGAUGUGAUUCUGGUGUUUGGAAUGUGUUUGUAACCUGUAUCAUUUUGGUGUUUGGAACAUGUGUUUGUGACCUAUAGAAAUAAACAUAUAAUCCAUUUAUGAUUAUUAACUAUGUGAAGCGUUUGCUUUUGUUAAUAUUUACUAGGACUUUGAUUAUUCCUAGUAAAUGAAUGUAUUUGUUCCAUUGUACCAUAACAUCUACCAGAUGCUUCCUAAUUCUAAUUGAAACAAGGAAAAUGCUUAAUAA